GCGCGAGUGGCGGAAUGGCAGACGCGCUGGCUUCAGGUGCCAGUGUCCCUUGGGACGUGGAGGUUCAACUCCUCUCUCGCGCACAA
rnacentral:tRNA from 131 species